CAAAAACUAGUUUAAUAAAAACACUAGCAUUGGAAGCCAGCAACUAAGAAAUGUACUCUUACUUUUUGA
rnacentral:tRNA from 1 species